rnacentral:rRNA from 1 species
UACGUAGGGCGCAAGCGUUGUCCGGAAUCAUUGGGCGUAAAGAGCUCGUAGGCGGCCUGUUGCGUCCGCUGUGAAAUCCCGGGGCUUAACCCCGGGCGUGCAGUGGAUACGGGCUGGCUGGAGGCAGGCAGGGGAGAACGGAAUUCCCGGUGUAGCGGUGAAAUGCGCAGAUAUCGGGAGGAACACCGGUGGCGAAGGCGGUUCUCUGGGCUGACACUGACGCUCAUGCACGAAAGCGUGGGGAGCAAACAGG